UGUGGUUACAGAGUAGAGACACUAGGAGGGUAAUCUCUACCACAACCUGAGAAUUCUGCCAGAGCGUCAAAAGGAGAUGGCCCAAGUUCAAUCACAGACAGAAAAAGCAAGUGGGCAAAAUAAGUAACGGAGCAGCAGAUGGGAGGUUUAUAGGCUACUACCUCAUGUAGCAAAAUCAAGCUGCUAACUGAAACUUUGCCAUUUUGCAAUCACAGGUGGGACAGAGUUAAAAACAGCAUAUAAUUCCUUUCAGCCUUUUGCUUUGAGAUGUCCAACAUGUCAUCCAUACCUGUUUUGUCAUUGAUCUAGUUAAGAAGAUGAUAAACACAGAUUUUUUUAUGGCAUACUUUUGUAGUUUAUCCCCCCGCCCACUAAGUAAUGCUUAAAUAACCACAAAAACAAUUCGCUUACCAGCAAAAGUGCAUAUAAAAUGUAUUUUUGAACAGCCAUUUGAAUUCUGAACAGCUGCUUUGUUUGACCAAGUUUCUUCUUUUUCCGAUUUGUUUAUCACAAAUAUUCAUGAGAACAGAUUUUGUUUUGUCAUGUUUUGUUUAUUUGUAGAGUGCCAGUUCUAUGUUGGGAAAAUUUUCCCCUGGUGUGCAAAGACAUGCUGUGAUGCUCUUCCUGUGGGUCUGUAUGUCAGUAAAAGAGCAAAAUAUCUCAUCCAGGUAUCUAUUUAAGGUCCAGACUCCAAAAGGUCAUAGCUACAAAUAGAAAGGGUCAGAUAUAAUUUCUUCUCUAUAGGUACUUUCAUUGUUGUCCAGUAAUAGUUCAGAAGUUUAUACUAACAGCAUUGCUUUACACUAUCUUUGUUUUCCAACAGCUUAUUUUUUAUUCCAUGAAUAACCCACAAAACAGAGAAAGAUAGAAUAGAUACACAGCACACUGCCUUUGGAUAGAUAGUACUGGAUACCACCUAUCUGGAAACAAUGAAAGUUGCAUAAUGGAAAUAGAAAUUCUGCCAUGCUUAGAAAGGGUGGGAAUAAGCUGAUGAAAAGUUAAAUAAUAAUAAUAAUAAUAAUAAUAAUAAUAAUAAUAAUAAUAAUAAUUUUAUUUGUAUACCUUGCCUCCAUCUUCCCAAAGGGACUCAGGGAGGCUUACAUGGGGACAAGCCCAAACAGCAUAAUAAAAUAAAAUAGCACAUUAAAAUAUAUAAUGGCAACAAAAAAA